AUGGCCCGUGCGCGGAAGCGCGACCGCCUGCGAUGGAGCAAGCUCUACACCUUCUCCUGCUUCCACCAGCCCCACACCGACGAGGCCGCCGGCCCCGCCGCCGUCAGCGGCAGCCCCGUCGGCGGCCCGGGCUUCUCGCGCAUCGUGCACUGCAACAACUCCAUCCUCCACCGCCGGAAGCCGCUCAAGUACCCCACCAACUACAUCUCCACCACCAAGUACAACGUCCUCACCUUCCUCCCCAAGGCCAUCUUCGAGCAGUUCCGCCGCGUCGCCAACCUCUACUUCCUCCUUACCGCCAUCCUCUCGCUCACCCCGGUCUGCCCCUUCUCCCCCGUCAGCAUGAUCGCCCCCUUGGCCUUUGUGGUCGGGCUCAGUAUGAUCAAGGAGGCCCUGGAGGACUGGCGAAGGUUCAUGCAGGACAUGAAGGUGAACAACCGCAAGGUCAGCGUGCACAAGGGUGACGGUGAAUUUGAGUUCCGACAUUGGGAGGACCUUUGUGUUGGUGAUGUGGUCAAGGUUGAGAAGGACCAGUUCUUCCCGGCUGAUUUGUUGCUCUUGUCGUCGAGCUAUGAGGAUGGCAUUUGCUACGUUGAGACAAUGAACCUGGAUGGUGAGACAAACCUGAAGCUGAAAAGGUCACUGGAGGUUACGCUGCCAUUGGAAGAGGAUGAGACGUUUAAGGAUUUCCAGGGAGUGAUAAGGUGUGAAGACCCAAACGCGAGCUUGUACACAUUCAUUGGUAACUUAGACUAUGAGAGGCAGGUGUAUGCCCUCGAUCCGUCUCAGAUACUUCUCAGGGACUCAAAGCUGAGGAACACGGCCUUCAUCUAUGGAGUAGUCAUUUUUACAGGGCACGAUAGUAAGGUGAUGCAGAAUUCAACCGAGUCGCCAUCAAAGAGGAGCAGGAUUGAGAAGAAGAUGGAUUUGAUCAUAUAUAUUUUGUUCACUGUUCUGGUUUUAAUAUCGCUCAUCAGUUCGAUUGGUUUUGCUGUGAGGAUCAAGCUUGAUCUGCCCAGAUGGUGGUACUUGCAGCCUCAGAACUCCAACAAAUUGGACGAUCCAACACGCCCUGCUCUUUCUGGGAUUUUCCAUCUCAUUACAGCACUCAUUCUCUACGGGUAUUUGAUUCCGAUCUCGCUAUAUGUCUCAAUUGAAGUUGUGAAGGUGGCACAAGCACAUUUCAUUAACCAGGACAUUCAUAUGUUUGAUGAGGAGACUGGCAAUACUGCUCAGGCCCGAACGUCAAACUUGAAUGAGGAGCUUGGCCAAGUUCAUACGAUUUUGUCAGAUAAAACUGGCACUUUGACCUGUAAUCAGAUGGAUUUCUUGAAGUGUUCAAUUGCUGGGGUUUCUUAUGGUGUGCGUGCGAGUGAAGUUGAAAGGGCUGCUGCAAAGCAGAUGGCAUCAGGCGCUGCUGACCAAGAUAUUCCUGUGCAAGAUGUAUGGGAGAGUAAUGAGGAUGAAAUCCAGUUAGUGGAAGGAGUUACCUUCAGCGUGGGAAAGACCCAAAAAUCCUCGAUAAAAGGCUUUAGUUUUGAGGAUGACCGUCUUAUGCAAGGGCACUGGACCAAUGAACCAAAUUCCAACAUGCUUCUUAUGUUCUUCCGGAUACUUGCUAUUUGUCACACUGCAAUCCCUGAGGUGAAUGAGGCAACAGGUGCUCUUACUUAUGAAGCAGAAUCACCUGACGAGGGGGCUUUUCUUGUGGCAGCCAGAGAAUUUGGAUUUGAAUUUUUCAAGAGAACACAAGCGAGUGUCUUCAUCAAAGAGAAAUACACUUCCUCUAAUGGCACAACUGAGAGGUAUAUGUAUUUCAAAUUACUGUUGUCCUUAGCUUUUCUAUCUUCAGCUGAGAGUAUUUGGCUUUCUGAUCGCUAUUUAUUCAUGUUUCUUCAUCUUCGGUUGGGAUUUCUUAGGGAGUUCAAGAUUCUCAAUUUAUUGGAGUUCAACAGCAAAAGAAAGCGAAUGACGGUAAUUAUGAGGGAUGAAGAUAACCGUAUUGUUCUUCUUUGCAAAGGAGCAGAUACCAUUAUAUUUGAUAGACUAGCAAAAAAUGGAAGGUUGUAUGAGCCAGAUACAACCAAGCAUCUCAAUGAAUAUGGUGAGGCAGGCUUGCGGACGUUAGCGCUAUCAUACAGAAUGCUUGAGGAAUCAGAAUAUGAAUCUUGGAAUGCCGAGUUUCUUAAAGCAAAGACAUCCAUUGGGCCUGAUAGGGAAUUGCAACUUGAGCGAGUCGCAGAUUUGAUUGAGAAGGAGCUGAUCCUUGUUGGUGCAACAGCGGUUGAGGACAAACUACAAACAGGGGUUCCUCAGUGCAUUGAUCGCUUGGCGCAAGCAGGUCUCAAAAUCUGGGUUCUGACAGGCGAUAAGAUGGAAACUGCAAUUAACAUAGGAUACGCAUGCAGUUUACUUAGGCAAGGCAUGAAACAGAUAUCCUUGUCCACAACCGCUGGUGACCAAGUAGCCCAGGAUGCACAAAAGGCUGCGAAAGAGAGUCUUAUGUUGCAAAUCGCCAAUGCUUCACAAAUGGUAAAGCUAGAGAAGGAUCCUGACGCAGCAUUUGCUCUUGUUAUUGAUGGAAAAGCUCUUACAUUUGCUUUGGAAGAUGACAUGAAGAAUAUGUUCUUGAAUCUAGCAGUAGAGUGUGCUUCUGUCAUAUGUUGCCGUGUGUCUCCAAGACAGAAAGCACUGGUGACCCGACUGGUCAAAGAAGGCCUUGGAAAAACUACUUUAGCAGUAGGUGAUGGUGCAAAUGAUGUGGGCAUGAUUCAAGAAGCUGAUAUUGGUGUUGGUAUUAGUGGGGUCGAAGGCAUGCAGGCUGUGAUGGCGAGUGACUUUUCUAUUUCCCAAUUUCGGUUCCUUGAGCGACUUCUUGUUGUACAUGGCCAUUGGUGCUACAAGAGAAUUGCCCAAAUGAUCUGCUACUUCUUUUACAAGAAUAUUACCUUUGGACUUACAAUAUUUUACUUCGAGGCAUUCGCUGGAUUUUCUGGGCAAUCAGUCUAUGAUGAUUGGUUUAUGCUGCUUUUCAACGUUGUUCUUACCUCUCUACCUGUUAUAUCACUUGGAGUAUUUGAGCAAGAUGUUUCUGCUGAAAUCUGCUUGCAGUUCCCAGCGCUAUAUCAGCAAGGACCAAAUAACCUUUUCUUUGACUGGUACCGGAUUUUAGGAUGGAUGGCGAAUGGCCUCUACUCAUCUCUGGCGAUAUUCUUUCUCAACAUCUGUAUAUUCUAUGAUCAAGCAAUCCGCUCUGGUGGACAGACUGCCGACAUGGCUUCAGUGGGAACCACCAUGUUCUCCUGCAUCAUCUGGGCUGUCAAUAUACAGAUUGCUCUGACAAUGAGCCAUUUCACCUGGAUUCAACAUUUGUUUGUGUGGGGCAGCAUAGGGACUUGGUAUGUCUUCAUUAUCACAUACGGGAUGGCUUUGAAGUCCCGAGACAACUUCCAGAUUAUGACAGAAGUUCUCGGGCCAGCUCCCAUUUACUGGGCAGCGACCCUUCUGGUGACUGCUGCUUGCAACAUCCCCUACCUGAUUCACAUAUCCUACCAGAGAUCAUGCAAUCCACUUGAUCACCAUGUGAUUCAGGAGAUCAAGUACCUACGGAAAGACGUCGAAGACGAAACAAUGUGGAAGAGGGAACGGUCUAAGGCGAGACAGAGGACCAAGAUUGGUUUCACCGCAAGGGUAGACGCAAAGAUUAAGCAGCUCAAGGGGAGGUUGCAUAAGAAAAGCCCAUCGUUAACCAUCCAUACUGUAGCGUAG
rnacentral:rRNA from 1 species